GGCAUAGGCAAAUUUGGCCCUGCAGAUGUUUUGGGACUACAGUUCCCAUCAUCCCUGACCACUGGUCCUUUUAGCUAGGGAUAAUGGGAGUUGUGGUCCCAAAACAUCUGCAGGGCCGAGUUUGCCUAUGCC